CUUUUUGCACACACACGAAUACAAAGAGCCAUACGACCUUCGGGUAUCCUUUUUCCAUUUUUUUUCCUCCUUAAUCUUGUGUGUGUUUUCAAAUUUUUAAAAAAUAGAGAUCUGUAGCAGUGUUGGGAAUGUCUUACUACCCUAUUAGUUCAUCGUAUACAUUGCUCAAGGCUCAACUGGAAGCUUUUCUUCUUUUCAGGUUUAGCUGUGCCUCCCAGUGACUAUAAUGACAAGGAAGCUGUAAAUGUAUUUGAGUUAAGUUUUUGCGAGAAAUGCCGGAAGGUCCUUCUGAAUCCCUUCCCUGUUCCUUAGCUUGCACUAGUCAGGGGUUCCGUGCUGGGGGGCAGAAGAAAUGCUCGCUACCCUCUGAAACCGUUCAUCAGGAAGGCCUUGAUUUGUGAUGUGCUAGGAGAGCACAGGAUCUGCAAAUAGAAGGCACCUGUCUCCCUUCUGCAGGCCGAGGAGAGGCCGCCAUGGACUGUGUGCUUCUUCGUGGCUUGUCUACUCUUCUUUCACAGACCCUACAGCCUGGGGCCUGGGCUCCUCUGACCAUCCUCAUUGAGAAAGGAAAG
rnacentral:sRNA from 1 species